rnacentral:rRNA from 1 species
GGCGGCAUNCCUUACACAUGCAAGUCGAACGGCAGCACGGACUUCGGUCUGGUGGCGAGUGGCGAACGGGUGAGUAAUACAUCGGAACGUGCCUAGUAGUGGGGGAUAACUACUCGAAAGAGUGGCUAAUACCGCAUGAGAUCUACGGAUGAAAGCAGGGGAUCGCAAGACCUUGUGCUACUAGAGCGGCUGAUGGCAGAUUAGGUAGUUGGUGGGAUAAAAGCUUACCAAGCCGACGAUCUGUAGCUGGUCUGAGAGGACGAUCAGCCACACUGGGACUGAGACACGGCCCAGACUCCUACGGGAGGCAGCAGUGGGGAAUUUUGGACAAUGGGCGCAAGCCUGAUCCAGCAAUGCCGCGUGCAGGAUGAAGGCCUUCGGGUUGUAAACUGCUUUUGUACGGAACGAAAAGCUUCGGGCUAAUACCUUGGAGUCAUGACGGUACCGUAAGAAUAAGCACCGGCUAACUACGUGCCAGCAGCCGNCGGU